GGAGUCUGGGCCGUGUCUCAGUUCCAUUGUGACCGUUCAUCCUCUCAGACCGGUUACCGAUCGUCGGCUUGGUAGGCCUUUACCCCACCAACUACCUAAUCGGACGCAGGCUCCUCGCAAAGCGAUAAAUCUUUAAUACAAACCUCAUGCGAAGCUUAUAUAACAUCCGGUAUUAGCGUCCCUUUCGGAACGUUGUCCCCGUCUUUGCGGCAGAUUACCUGCGCUUUACUCACCCGUUCGCCACUAAACCCGAAGGUUCCGUUCGACUUGCAUGUGUUAAGCACGCCGCCA
rnacentral:rRNA from 1 species